AGGUGGGCACUCCUGAGACUGCAGAGCAGAAGAGACCAGCAACACUGCCCACCCCUGCCCACAUCCCUGGCCCAAGAGGAAACUGAAUACGGCCUCUGGGUUCCUUAGAUAAGGGCACAGGAGCAGCAGUUCCCCUGCGUCUGAGACAUGCCAGAAACUGAAGGGACCAACCAGAUAAACAGUUCUCUGCACCUAAAUCCCAUGGGAGGGAGAGCUAAACAUUCAGAGAGGCAGACACCCCUGGGAAACCAGAAGAGACUACACUCUAUCCACAUCUCUGACGCCAGAGGAAAACACCAAACGCCAUCUGGGACUCUGGUGCAUGGGGGCUCCCGGAAACAGCAGCACAGGUCCUCCUGCUUGCUGCCCCCAUGGAGAGCUCAUAAGCAACACCCCAAGAGAAAACAUGAGCCUCGGACAACAGGUAAGACCAACUUUUCUGCUCCAGGCAACCUGCCUGGUGAACUCAGGACACAGGCCCCCAGGAACAGCUGAAGACCUGUAGAGAGGAAAAACUACACGCCCAAAAGCAGAACACACUGUUCCCAUAACUGGCUGAAAGAAAACAGGAAAA
rnacentral:lncRNA from 1 species